AAGGCACCUUCCUCAGUGGGCCUAAAAGCAGCCACCUGUAAAGAUAGCGUUAAAGCCCAAGAAGAACCUAGCCAACAAUACAACUAAACUAAGCCCAAACUCCCUAUCUAAUAUUGAGCCCCCCUAUUGAAUAUAGAGAAGAUAAUGCUGGAAUCAGUAAUAAGAGGGUUGCACCCCUCUCCUAGCACAAUCGUGAGUCAGAUAGGAUUAACCACUGAUAACUAACGGACCCAAAAGAGGGAAUACCAAAAGGUAAUAAACAACAAGAAAUCCCUGCCAACAACCCCGUCAACCCGACACAGGAGUGCACUCAGGAAAGACUAAAAGGGAGAGAAGGAACUCGGCAAACUUGGACCCCGCCUGUUUACCAAAAACAUCGCCUCUUGCUAACAAUGAAGUAUUAGAGGUCCCGCCUGCCCUGUGACAGCAAUGUUUAACGGCCGCGGUAUCUUAACCGCGCGAAGGUAGCGUAAUCACUUGUCUUUUAAAUGGAGACCUGUAUGAAUGGCAUAACGAGGGUUUAACUGUCUCCUCUCCCUAGUCGAUGAAAUUGAUCUGCCCGUGCAGAAGCGGGCAUGACACCAUAAGACGAGAAGACCCUAUGGAGCUUUAGGCAAAUGAUCAAGCACACCAAACCCUACUCCUAAACAAAUUUAGGGAAAAUAAAAACCUAUGAUCACUGUGCCUUCGGUUGGGGCGACCAUGGAGAAGAAAAAAUCCUCCAAGUGGAACGGGAAAACCCUUCAACUAAGAAUAACAGCUCGAAGUACCAGAAAUUCUGACCAGAAAUGACCCAGGAU
rnacentral:rRNA from 1 species